rnacentral:rRNA from 1 species
CCUACGGGUGGCUGCAGUCGAGAAUAUUCCCCAAUGGCCGAAAGGCUGAGGGAGCGACGCCGCGUGCAGGACGAAGGGCUUCGGCUCGUAAACUGCUUUUUUCAGGGAAGAAUACUGACGGUACCUGAAGAAUAAGAGGUUGCUAACUCUGUGCCAGCAGCAGCGGUAAUACAGAGACCUCAAACGUUGUCCGGAUUUAUUGGGCGUAAAGGGUCCGCAGGCGGUCUUAUACGUCGAUGGUGAAAUCAUCGGGCUCAACCCGGUGGCUGCCGUCGAUACGGUAAGACUAGAGUAUGGGAGAGGUAAGCGGAAUUGCCGGUGUAGUAGUAAAAUGCGUUCAUAUCGGCAAGAACACCAAAUGCGAAGGCAGCUUACUGGAACAUUACUGACGCUCAGGGACGAAAGCGUGGGGAGCGAAAGGGAUUAGAUACCCUAGUAGUC